CUAUUCAUUGUUGUAGUUUUGGU
rnacentral:snRNA from 1 species